CUAUCGCUAGUCUGGGUCGGGGGUUCCUAUAUGGAACCCCAGAAAUACGACUCAACAGUAUAAUUCAAAGCAGCGGAACGAGCAAGACCACGUCUGCAAGUCUUCACUGCAGCACUGUUUUCAUUGGAAAAGUGGAAACAAUCCAGAAUGUUCCACGUUAAGAGGACGUUGACGUUGACAGAGAAAGACCAAAGGAACUUUUGUGACUUCAUCCAAAUGUCAUAACAAAAGUGGAUUUACUUAUAUAUGGCUAUAUGUCAAGUGUUACUUCCUUUUGUGACCUCUUGAGGAUGCUUCCAGCUCUGAGAUUCUGCGACACU